UACGUAGGGUCCGAGCGUUGUCCGGAAUUAUUGGGCGUAAAGAGCUCGUAGGCGGUUUGUCGCGUCUGCCGUGAAAAGUCCGGGGCUCAACUCCGGAUCUGCGGUGGGUACGGGCAGACUAGAGUGUGGUAGGGGAGACUGGAAUUCCUGGUGUAGCGGUGAAAUGCGCAGAUAUCAGGAGGAACACCGAUGGCGAAGGCAGGUCUCUGGGCCACUACUGACGCUGAGAAGCGAAAGCAUGGGGAGCGAACAGG
rnacentral:rRNA from 1 species